ACGCUCUCUGUCAUUACAGGGCCAGACCCAGAAUUCAUUUCCAAAGGUAAGCGACACCACAAGGACUGCAGUGUGGUAUUAUCUGCCAUGUGGACCUAAGAACUCUUGUUCUCUGAGUCGGCUUUAAAUCAAAAGCGUUAAGUAGGGUUUAAGCCCCGUGUCAUGUUCAAUUCCAAGCUUUAAAGCCAUGAAGCAUGGCUUUUAUGAUGGAAACAACAACUGGACCUCGUCUGUAACAGACCCAGCAAACUGACAUUGGGGCUCUCCCAGUGACUCUGGGAAUCUUACAGCAGACUAGCUAUGACCUGGAAGGGGUCUGUUAGAUCAGCAGCCAACAGAUGGCUGGCUCCCGGGGGUUGCAGGCAUUCUUUCAGUGCCCAGCUCCUGCUUCUCUGUGCCUCUCUCCAAGGGCUCCCUCCCUUGCUCAUCUGCCUGACUUUCAGCAAAACCCCUUGUAACACCAAAAGGCCGAUGUAAUGGAAAUUAGUUGGGAUACAUCCAAGGAAGGGAAUCUGUCUGCCAGAAAAGACAGGUUUUCAGAAGCCAGUCAGUGCUGCUUGGCCUCCUGCUUGCUAUGACGCGGCCAACGUGGUUGAUUCCCAGUACAGGAAUCUUCACAGACAGGAAGCACCAGGCCAGCUGGAUGGAGAAAGUCAUAAGUAUCUCAGACAAGAGAUGAUCCCCGCCACCAUCAGGAGCAGGAGCCUGCUUAGGACAUCACAAAGUAUUGCUUUAUAAUGCUUCAAAUAGAUGGAUUAGGUAUUUGAGGCACUUUGCAGUGUCUAAGUCCACCUCCAUGAAUAGUGUUUGGGGCACAGGCUCUACUACAGUUGGCACAAUUCAGAAUAUACCUGGGACCUCUACUUGACAAGUUCUGACAUAAUGACUGUACUCACCCAGCCAGAAGGCUUGACCCUCCCCCCUCAGUCCACCAAUGCCAGCGCCCAAGCACUGGUGGACACAAGAG
rnacentral:lncRNA from 1 species